rnacentral:rRNA from 1 species
AAUACUUAGGAAUCUACCUAUUAAUGGGGGACAACAUUUCGAAAGGAAUGCUAAUACCGCAUACGCCCUACGGGGGAAAGCAGGGGAUCUUCGGACCUUGCGUUAAUAGAUGAGCCUAAGUCGGAUUAGCUAGUUGGUGGGGUAAAGGCCUACCAAGGCGACGAUCUGUAGCGGGUCUGAGAGGAUGAUCCGCCACACUGGGACUGAGACACGGCCCAGACUCCUACGGGAGGCAGCAGUGGGGAAUAUUGGACAAUGGGGGGAACCCUGAUCCAGCCAUGCCGCGUGCGUGAAGAAGGCCUUUUGGUUGUAAAGCACUUUAAGCGAGGAGGAGGCUACUCUAGUUAAUACCUAGAGCUAGUGGACGUUACUCGCAGAAUAAGCACCGGCUAACUCUGUGCCAGCAGCCGCGGUAAUACAGAGGGUGCGAGCGUUAAUCGGAUUUACUGGGCGUAAAGCGUGCGUAGGUGGCCUUUUAAGUCAAAUGUGAAAUCCCCGAGCUUAACUUGGGAAUUGCAUUCGAUACUGGAAGGCUAGAGUAUGGGAGAGGAUGGUAGAAUUCCAGGUGUAGCGGUGAAAUGCGUAGAGAUCUGGAGG